GUAGAUAAAAGAGCAAACUCUCUUGGCACCUAUAGUCUAGUGAGAGACAGAUACUGAUCAAAUGUGAAGUAUUAAUUUAUUAAUUUAUAAAUACAUGGAGGAAACCAACAGAGUGCCAUGGAAGAGAAAAACAGAGAUAAGCUAAGCAUAGUGGAGUGUGCCUGUAGUCCCAGCUAUCUGGGAGGCUGAGGCAGGAGAGAGAAAGCUCAGGUUACCUACAAAGGGAAGCCCAUCAGACUAACAGUGGAUCACUCUGCAGAAACUCUACAAGGCAGAAGAGAGUGGGGGCCAAUAUUCAACAUUCUUAAAGAAUUUUCAACCCAGAAUUUC
rnacentral:lncRNA from 1 species